CACUGAACAUUGAGCCUUGAUGUGUAGGAUAGGUGGGAGGCUUUGAAGUGUGGACGCCAGUCUGCAUGGAGCCGACCUUGAAAUACCACCCUUUAAUGUUUGAUGUUCUAACGUUGACCCGUAAUCCGGGUUGCGGACAGUGUCUGGUGGGUAGUUUGACUGGGGCGGUCUCCUCCUAAAGAGUAACGGAGGAGCACGAAGGUUGGCUAAUCCUGGUCGGACAUCAGGAGGUUAGUGCAAUGGCAUAAGCCAGCUUGACUGCGAGCGUGACGGCGCGAGCAGGUGCGAAAGCAGGUCAUAGUGAUCCGGUGGUUCUGAAUGGAAGGGCCAUCGCUCAACGGAUAAAAGGUACUCCGGGGAUAACAGGCUGAUACCGCCCAAGAGUUCAUAUCGACGGCGGUGUUUGGCACCUCGAUGUCGGCUCAUCACAUCCUGGGGCUGAAGUAGGUCCCAAGGGUAUGGCUGUUCGCCAUUUAAAGUGGUACGCGAGCUGGGUUUAGAACGUCGUGAGACAGUUCGGUCCCUAUCUGCCGUGGGCGCUGGAGAACUGAGGGGGGCUGCUCCUAGUACGAGAGGACCGGAGUGGACGCAUCACUGGUGUUCG
rnacentral:rRNA from 1 species